GACGAACGCUGGCGGCGUGCCUAAUACAUGCAAGUCGAGCGAAGUUUUUCUGGUGCUUGCACUAGAAAAACUUAGCGGCGAACGGGUGAGUAACACGUAAAGAACCUGCCUCAUAGACUGGGACAACUAUUGGAAACGAUAGCUAAUACCGGAUAACAGUAUUUCUCGCAUGAGAGAUAUUUAAAAGUUGGUUAUGCUAACACUAUGAGAUGGCUUUGCGGUGCAUUAGCUAGUUGGUGGGGUAAAGGCCCACCAAGGCGACGAUGCAUAGCCGACCUGAGAGGGUGAUCGGCCACACUGGGACUGAGACACGGCCCAGACUCCUACGGGAGGCAGCAGUAGGGAAUCUUCCGCAAUGGGCGAAAGCCUGACGGAGCAACGCCGCGUGAGUGAAGAAGGAUUUCGGUUCGUAAAGCUCUGUUGUUAGGGAAGAAUGGAUAUGUAGUAACUAUACAUGUAAGAGACGGUACCUAACCAGAAAGCCACGGCUAACUACGUGCCAGCAGCCGCGGUAAUACGUAGGUGGCAAGCGUUGUCCGGAAUUAUUGGGCGUAAAGCGCGCGCAGGUGGUUUAAUAAGUCUGAUGUGAAAGCCCACGGCUCAACCGUGGAGGGUCAUUGGAAACUGUUAAACUUGAGUGCAGGAGAGAAAAGUGGAAUUCCUAGUGUAGCGGUGAAAUGCGUAGAGAUUAGGAGGAACACCAGUGGCGAAGGCGGCUUUUUGGCCUGUAACUGACACUGAGGCGCGGAGCGUGGGGAGCAAACAUGAUGAGAUACCCUGGGUGAUCCUGGGGCGAAUUCCACGUGGAUAUGUAGCUUAUCGAUUCCGUCGAGCUCGAGGGGGGUCAAAAUAAACUGCUUUUGUUCCUUUUGUGACUGUUUACUAUA
rnacentral:rRNA from 1 species